GGCAUGGUGGCCAAGCGGUAAUGCAGGGGACUGCAAAUCCUUUAUCCCCAGUUCAAAUCUGGGUGUCGCCU
rnacentral:tRNA from 1 species